ACUUCGACUGUGAACGCGAUAGGAAUUGGAUCGUCUAUUCUACAAAGCUCCUUUAUCUUUUGCAACAAUUACAUUCGAAUGUCUUUUCAAGCGCUAACGACAUAAUCGACGUUUGGUAAUAUCCAUCAACAGAGGGGACAAUUCGGAUGCACAAUCUAUGCCUAUGACUGUGCAGUAGGGAGGGCAUACUCUUCUCCACCACUUGUCUGGCGCCACUAUUGUCUCCGAAGGCCAAGCUGUAAAUCUUCGUUGCUUAUACCGUUUUCUUGAAACGACGUUGCGACACAAUCUUCCAGUGUGAGUGGUAGCUUAUUCGGUAAGGGAAAUCACAGUUAAAUUUCAUAAUACGGUAUUUUUAUCGGUACGUAGAACGUUCUCCGGUAAAACAUCAAAAU
rnacentral:misc_RNA from 1 species